GUGCUUGCUUCGGCAGCACAUAUACUAAAAUUGGAAUGAUACAGAGAAGAUUAGCAUGGCCUCUGUGCAAAGAUGACAUAUGCAAAUUUGUGAAGCGUUCCAUAUUUUU
ensembl:snRNA U6 U6 spliceosomal RNA